AGAGAGAGAGAGAGAGAGAGAGACAGACAGACAGACAGAGUCCGAGUCAAUUGUCAAAGUUUUACACAGACGUCACUUGUGAUAAACGAAUAAUUAAAGAGUCAACUGCAAACGCGUGUAUUUUCAUCUAUUUUGCAAGAGAAUACAUCUUCGGUACUCGACAAGUUUGGAAUGUGUUUCCGCUUUAAUUAUAUUUCUCAUUUCUGCGUAGUACCUAUUUACGUGAAGAAUUGUGUCACCGCAAACUGUGUUUCGUUCUCUGAUUCAAUCUCAUCCUAGAUUAAACUUCGCGAACUCAUUUUUUCAAUUACCGCAAUCCAAUUUUAUUCCGCCAUCUGACAAGCCGCGUAAAUGACUCAUGGAUUAUUCAAUAUGGCCUGUGGAGCCAAUCUCGGAUCGAAUAUCGCGAAAUAUUUUUAAGGACACGACAUUGAAAUCCAUUCCGACUUCGAAGCAAUAAAUACUCGUACAGAUAACGCGAGAAUAAUCUUUUACUUGAACAAAUGAAAUGCAAAAAUCAAUACAAGAUAUACUUUAUUCCUUUUUUCAUUGUGUCCGUGAUAUUUAUAGUAUAGAAAUUAAAUUCACUGACAUAACGUCGCGAUAAAAGUAUGAACUUUGGAAAUUUGUUUCUAUAACCGAUACUCUCAUCCACGAUUCUGCGCGACAUGGUGCGGCAAGAGCGGGUCGAGGUUCUGUGAUUAAAAUUGGAUUUUCGUCUAUUCUCGUCCGGCCGUCCCUGAAAGUCUUUGAGACAUUGAAUGUAUUUAUGUCAUAGCCGUUAGAAGAUUCUUUGCCUCUCUCUCUCUCUCUCGCGCGCGCGCGCGCGCGUACAUCAUCAUCAGCGCUUUUUCACUCGAUGCAAACGAGCAGCGCGAAACGAUUGACAUACGAGUAGUUUCAAGAAAUAACAUAAUAUGCACCGUGUAUAUAAUUCUCCUCGUGACGUAAGAAGAAGGAACAACCGCGACGAAACAACACGAGUUCUCUGAGGUUACCUAUUGAAUCUACUAUCUAAAUGGAUCUACGUCGAAGACGGAACGUGUGCGAAAUGCAGAAAAAAAAAAUUACGGCGCAUAGAUGCAACGCAUGCACUAUACUUCCAACGAAUUUGCUCAACUACUCAUUCAUCGCAUGCGAGGAUUUUAACCAAAACCAGAGAUGCAAACCGAACCGAAGUAGAAAAUUAAAUCACCGAAAUUGAUUGAAUUAUAGACUAAAAUUCGAUUUCGAAAAUAAAUUGCUUGAAGUAAAAAAAAAAACCAUAAAUUUAAUUUUAACUCAGUUUUAGUUUUCUAUACAAUGUAAAUUUCUCAAUAAAGAUUAAAUAUUAUUACUAUUAAA